UCUCUGUUAGUAUAUAGGUUAGUACACGCGCCUGUCAUUAGUACUUGCUGUGACGCGCGAAAGCUGGGUUCGACUCCCAGACAGAGAG